GGGGGUAUAGAUAGCUCAGUGGUAGUGCAUUUGACUGUAGUUCAAGAGGUCUCAGGUUUAAAUCCUGUUACCCCCU